ensembl:lncRNA MEG8 maternally expressed 8, small nucleolar RNA host gene
CAAUAGUGAUAAUCUCGAGGUGAUUUAUGCAUUCUUCCAUGGCCACCAGCCUUAUGAUUGCAUCUGUGCGUCACAGCUUAGAGAUCAAUAAUGGAUGCAACAAGCUCUUUGAAUCAUUCUGUUGGGAUCAAGAUUGUUGUGUUCCCUCUGUUUGGAAAGAGACCAAGAAUGGAUACGCUCAGGUGAUUUAAGCAGUCUUCCAUGGCCACGAGCUCUGUGGUUGCCUCUGUAUAUUAAGAGCACAGAGAUUAAAAAUGGCCCCAUUCCAGCUGAUAUAAGCACUCUUCCAUGGCAUGUGCACUAUGGUUGGUUCUCUGUGUUAGGAGCACACAAACCAUUGCGAAAUGGGUGCACUUGAGCCGAUUGAAACAUUCCUCCUUGCAUCUUUCUUCUGUGAUUGCAUCUAUUUGUUAGUAGCAUAGAGACCAAUAAUAGAUGGCUUGUGCUGAUGGAAGGAUUCCUCCCUGGUGACAUGCUGUGUCUGCCUCUUGAUUGGGAGCACGCAGACCUACAAUGAUGCACUUUUUAUGAUUUGAGAAUUCCUUCAUGGUCACGUGCUCUGUUUUUAUCAUGGUUGGGAGCCUGCAGAGCAAUAAGGGACAUGCCUUUGCUGAUUUGAGGAUUCCUCUGAGGUUGGGAGCUAAGUUUGCAUCAUGCUUAGAAAGGAGUGUGCAGACCUGUAAUGAUUGCACUUUGCUGAUUGAAGGAUUCCUUCAAGUCCAUGUGCUCCACUUGCACCAUUUUUAGGAUGGAGCCUGGAGACCUAUAAUGAACAACUUGUGCUGUGUUAAGGAUUCCUCCAUGAUCACGCGCCCCAUUUGUACACCAUGCUUGGGAAGGUGCAUGCAGACCAAUGUUAGUAAUAGUCAAAAUUCCUGUGUCGGUUUGUGUGGUUUGCUAAACAGGACUCAAUGUAUCAUGAAACAGUGUAUUAUAUAGUCAACUAUGGUCAACUAUGUCCCAGUGAUAUUUAUGAGAGGGAUCUGAAGUAUUUAUUGAUAAUGCAUAUAUGAAAAACGGAGAAGAAUUAAUGAAACAGAUAUAUCUGUGUUAGAAUGAUUCUGUAUAAAGAUAGGGAAUAUCAAGUCUGUUCUUAGUGUUUUGUGAAUCACAGAGUGUAAAAUUAUUCCCAGUGAAUUAAUGAAUAAAUUUAAAGACAACAUAGAAAUGAAUGCAGAAAAA